UUCCAAGCGCUAUUAAUCGAGCAUCUUCUUCUCUCCCUUUUAGAGUAAAUUAGUGAGCUAAACGGCUGACCUUGGGAACACAAAGAUGUGCAGGUGAAAGGAGGCUAAGAUAUGGAUCAGGACCAAGAGCUGGGAAGAUGCUAAAAACAGAUCUAGGAAACUGUUGAGGAGGAAGUUGACAACGGGGACUUGGAAAGAAGGACACCAUGAGCGAGUCUUCCCGCUGCUCUUCGGAGAAUUCUGGUAUCCAUCUUGGUGCAGGGUACAUGUCUGCAACGAGGAAGGAAAGAUGUAGAAUGAGCUUAGCCUUGAGGUCAGCUCCAUCCUUCUUCCUUUCUCCACCUUGGAACCUGAAAAGUGAAGCAGCGAAAAAGAACCUCAUGCUUUC
rnacentral:lncRNA from 1 species